UGCAUUCACUACUGUAAGUCACCCUGGAUAAGAGUGUCUGCUAAAUGACUGAAA
rfam:Salmo salar isolate Sally breed double haploid chromosome ssa07, whole genome shotgun sequence.